GGGCGAAUAGCUCAGCGGUGAGAGCGCCUGCCUUACACGCAGGAAGUCGGGGGUUCGAAUCCCUCUUCGCCCA
rnacentral:tRNA from 1 species